rnacentral:misc_RNA from 1 species
CAUGGCUUUAUUUUCUUCAUCCCAUCUAUUUAGGGCUAAACUUUUCAUGAGCUAUUGGAUACUAUAUCCUUUACUACGAAGUCCUAUUGAGGCAAAAGUUCAAUUGUCUUCACAGAAAGUUAAAAAACUACUUAAUUUACAUGGAAUUCUAGAAGCUCCAGUUAUUUCACAAAAGCAAAUGCAAGAAUAAAAUAAACUAAAAAGGCCCUUUUUUCAUUUAAACAUGAAGAAAAAAUGUUUGAAAAGCUAUAUAUUUGUGAUAAGAACUUUUUAAUCAACAAAAAGGUCUAGAAGGAGGUUAAUUGAGCUAGCUGUGGAUUUCUGUUGUGGCAAAUUCUUUAGGGGUCCAUUAGUUAAAGGGAAACAAGUUAGUAAAGUAUGACCAACGCCAUGGCCACAUGUUUGAAAUUCCACACAUUUCCAACAGUUGUCAUUUAGGCAUAAAGGAUAUAACUCUGAUGCCAGCCAACACAUGCAAGCAAAGUGCGGCAUAUAUUCUCCAAGGUCAGCGCAAAUGCAAAUCCAUAAACAGAAAUGCAAGAUAUUAUAAGAAAUCAACAAAUCACACCAAUUCUCGCUAAAUAUGUUAAAGGAAACAGUCAGUAACUUACAUGAGAUCUUAUCAAUGGGAAAG